rnacentral:rRNA from 1 species
AAUGAACGCUGGCGGCGCGCCUAAUACAUGCAAGUCGAGCGAGAAGACGUAGCAAUACGUUUGUAAAGCGGCGAACGGGUGAGGAAUACAUGGGUAACCUACCCUCGAGUGGGGAAUAACUAGCCGAAAGGUUAGCUAAUACCGCGUACGCUCCUUGGACUUCGGUUCAGGGAGGAAAGCGAUACCGUGGGUAUCGCGCUCUUGGUUGGGCUCAUGUCCUAUCAGCUUGUUGGGAGGUACGCUCACCAGGCUUCGACGGUAGCUGGUCUGAGAGGACGAUCAGCCACACUGGCACUGCGACGACGGGCCA